GGGGAUAUUGCACAAUGGGCGAAAGCCUGAUGCAGCGACGCCGCGUGAGGGAAGACGGUCUUCGGAUUGUAAACCUCUGUCUUUGGGGAAGAAAAUGACGGUACCCAAAGAGGAAGCUCCGGCUAACUACGUGCCAGCAGCCGCGGUAAUACGUAGGGAGCAAGCGUUGUCCGGAAUUACUGGGUGUAAAGGGAGCGUAGGCGGGAUGGCAAGUAGAAUGUUAAAUCCAUCGGCUCAACCGGUGGCUGCGUUCUAAACUGCCGUUCUUGAGUGAAGUAGAGGCAGGCGGAAUUCCUAGUGUAGCGGUGAAAUGCGUAGAUAUUAGGAGGAACACCAGUGGCGAAGGCGGCCUGCUGGGCUUUAACUGACGCUGAGGCUCGAAAGCGUGGGGAGCAAACAG
rnacentral:rRNA from 1 species